rnacentral:lncRNA from 1 species
AUGGCGGACAGCUGCACCGCGAGGGGCGUGGCGUUGGCUGCCCCGGACCCCGGGCAGGGCAGUGGCGGCCCAGGACAACGCGUCUACUUUCAGAGCCCCCCUGGGCCGCAGGAGAGGGCCCGGGCGGCGCGGACGAUGAGGGCCCAGUGAGGCGCCAAGUGAAGGUCACCGUCAAGUAUGACCGCAAGGAGCUACGGAAGCGCCUUAACCUAGAGGAGUGGAUCCUGGAGCAGCUCACGCGCCUCUACGACUGCCAGGAAGAGGAGAUCCCAGAACUGGAAAUUGACGUGGAUGAGCUCCUGGACAUGGAGAGUGACGAUGCCCGUACUGCCAGGGUCAAGGAGCUGCUGGUUGACUUGUUACAAACCCACAGAGACCUUCAUCUCUGGCCUGCUGGACAAGAUCCGGGGCAUGCAGAAGCUGAGCACACCCCAGAAGAAGUGA